rnacentral:rRNA from 1 species
AUUGAACGCUAGCGGGAUGCCUUACACAUGCAAGUCGAACGGCAGCACGGACUUCGGUCUGGUGGCGAGUGGCGAACGGGUGAGUAAUGUAUCGGAACGUGCCCAGUAGCGGGGGAUAACUACGCGAAAGCGUAGCUAAUACCGCAUACGCCCUACGGGGGAAAGCAGGGGAUCGCAAGACCUUGCACUAUUGGAGCGGCCGAUAUCGGAUUAGCUAGUUGGUGGGGUAACGGCUCACCAAGGCGACGAUCCGUAGCUGGUUUGAGAGGACGACCAGCCACAUUGGGACUGAGACACGGCCCAGACUCCUACGGGAGGCAGCAGUGGGGAAUUUUGGACAAUGGGGGAAACCCUGAUCCAGCCAUCCCGCGUGUGCGAUGAAGGCCUUCGGGUUGUAAAGCACUUUUGGCAGGAAAGAAACGUCAUGGGUUAAUACCGUGAAACUGACGGUACCUGCAGAAUAAGCACCGAAUA